GCCACGGACGCUCUAUGGCAGAGCCUACGGGAUGAUAGCCCUGGUAGAAGCUGGUUCGAAUCCGGCCCGUGGUU
rnacentral:tRNA from 1 species